ensembl:lncRNA
CUACACUCGGGUUAGUACACUCGGGUUAGUACACUCGGGUUAGUACACUCGGUUACUACACUCGGAUUAGUACACUCGGAUUACUACACUCGGGUUAGUACACUCGGGUUAGUACACUCGGGUUAGUACACUCGGAUUACUACACUCGGAUUACUACACUCGGAUUACUACACUCGGAUUACUACACCGGGUUACUACACUCGGGUUACUACACUCGGAUUACUACACUCGGAUUACUACACUCAGGUUAGUACACUCAGAUUACUACACUCAGAUUACUACACUCAGAUUAAUACACUCAGAUUACUACACUCGGGUUACUACACUCAGAUUACUACACUCAGAUUACUACACUCAGAUUCUACACUCGGGUUACUACACUCGGGUUAGUUCACUCGGGUUAGUUCACUCGGGUUAGUACACUCAGAUUACUACACUUUGUGAAUUAAAGCUGUAUUGACUUGUCUUAGUGCUAAACAAUAUACAUCUGUAACUGGUAUGCUACAAAUGAUCAAUAAUAAUCAUCUGAUUCAAAACAAAUGGCACCAAAAUGGCAUUGGAUUUCUUAUUAAUGUACAUAAAUCCUGCAUG